AACGCACCUUGCGCUCCUUGGUAUUCCGAGGAGCAUGCCUGUUUGAGUGUCAUUAAACUCUCAACCUCUUAUUUCUUUGUUGAUUGAACUGGCUUGGACGUGGGGGUUGCGGGCUUCCUCAGAAGUCGGCUCUCCUUAAAAUCAUUAGCGGAACCUCAGUAACCCGUCCAUUGGUGUGAUAAUUAUCUGCGCCAUCGACGGGAAGCUGUCAUAAGGGGUUCAGCUUCUAACCGUCUCGCAAGAGACAACAUCUUAAUUGACAUUUUUGACCUCAAAUCAGGUAGGACUACCCGCUGAACUUAA
rnacentral:misc_RNA from 1 species